AGAGUUUAUCCCUCGUCAUCUCUGACCUUCUUUUCCCAAUUUAAGCCAGAAAAUUAGGCGAAAAGGAUGGGAGUAGGAUGGAGAAAUGUCCCCAGUAUGGGUGGUUCUGGGGACAUGAUGACAGCAGCAGCAAUUACCUCCAGGAAGAGUGACAUCAUUGCAGGAACUCGAGACAUUCAGGAGCCUGCAAGGAAAGGCAGGGAACAAGAACACUGCCUUGUGAACAGACUUGGAGGGCAGAACCAGGAGCUGGGGAUCCAGUUACUUAGUUGAUUAGGGCUGGAGCCGGACUUCGUGGCACUAGGACCAAUGCCCUGCGGACACACAGGGAAUGCAACAAACCUCAGGGAUGAUCAUACUUUUGGCAAAUAGUUCAGAAUGUUGGCAGAUGCCCAAAUGGAAGAGGAUCUGGCGUGGACAUAUGCUUGAAACCAUUGUCGUCACCUCAAUUCAAGAUUAUACUCACAUUUCCUUCUGGUAUUGGCACCACCUUCUCACUCCGAGACCAAACAGUGCUAUGCAGAAAGAGAGCAAAGC